rnacentral:rRNA from 1 species
UUCAAAGGAAAUUGAACGGGGGGCCCCGCACAAACGGAGGGAACAUGUGGGUUUGAAAUUAGAUGAUACGCCGAGGAACCCUAACCAGGGCUUGAAUUCCAGAAGAAGGAUGCAGAAAUGUUGACGCCCCUUUCGGGGCCUCUGUGAAAGUGGAUGCAUGGUUGUGGUCAGCUCGUGCCGUGAGGUGUCGGAUUAAGUGCCAUAACGAGCGCAACCCUUGCUGUCAGUUGCCAUCAGGUAGAGCUGGGCACUCUGGCGGGACUGCCAUCGCAAGAUGUGAGGAAGGUGGGGAUGAAGUCAAAUCAGCACGGCCCUUACGUCCGGGGCUACACACGUGUUACAAUGGGGGGUACAGAAUGUUGCUUACGGGUGACCGUUGGCGGAUCAUUAAAUCCCCUAUCAGUUCGGAAUGGAGUCUGCAACCCGACUCCACGAAGCUGGAUUUGUUAGUAAUCGCGCAUCAGCCAUGGCGCGGUGAAUACGUUCCCGGGCCUUGUACACACCGCCCGUCAAGCCAUGAAAGCCGGGGGCGCCUGAAGUCCGUUACCGCAAGGAUCGGCCUAGGGCGAAACUGGUAAUUGGGGCUAA